GGCGCAUUCGUCUAGGGGCCUAGGACGCUGCCCUCUCACGGCGGUAACACGGGUUCAAAUCCCGUAUGCGCUA
rnacentral:tRNA from 1 species